GACGAACGCUGGCGGCGUGCUUAACACAUGCAAGUCGAACGCUGAAGCUCAGCUUUUGUUGGGUGGAUGAGUGGCGAACGGGUGAGUAACACGUGAGUAACCUGCCUCCUUCUUUGGGAUAACGCCCGGAAACGGGUGCUAAUACUGGAUAUUCACUGGUCUUCGCAUGGGGGUUGGUGGAAAGGGUUUUUCUGGUGGGGGAUGGGCUCGCGGCCUAUCAGCUUGUUGGUGGGGUGAUGGCCUACCAAGGCUUUGACGGGUAGCCGGCCUGAGAGGGUGAACGGUCACAUUGAGACUGAGAUACGGCCCAGACUACUACGGGAGGCAGCAGUGGGGAAUAUUGCACAAUGGGCGAAAGCCUGAUGCAGCGACGCCGCGUGAGGGAUGGAGGCCUUCGGGUUGUGAACCUCUUUCGCUCAUGGUCAAGCCGCAACAAUGGUUGUGGUGAGGGUAGUGGGUAAAGAAGCGCCGGCUAACUACGUG
rnacentral:rRNA from 1 species